rnacentral:rRNA from 1 species
UACGUAGGGUGCGAGCGUUAAUCGGAAUUACUGGGCGUAAAGCGUGCGCAGGCGGUUUUGUAAGACAGGCGUGAAAUCCCCGGGCUCAACCUGGGAAUUGCGUCUAGUGACUGCAAGGCUAGAGUAUGGCAGGAGGGGGGUAGAAUUCCACGUGUAGCAGUAGAAAUGCGUAGAGAUGUGGAGGAACUACCGAUGGCGAAGGCACGCCCCCGUGGGCCAAUACUGACGCUCAUGCACGAAAGCGUGGGGAGCAAACAGGAUUAGAAACCCCGUUGUAGU